UAACGCAUGGGAAUCUGCCCUUAGGUACGGAAUAACUCAGGGAAACUUGAGCUAAUACCGUAUAAUGACUCCGGUCCAAAGAUUUAUCGCCUAGGGAUGAGCCCGCGUCGGAUUAGCUAGUUGGUGAGGUAAAGGCUCACCAAGGCGACGAUCCGUAGCUGGUCUGAGAGGAUGAUCAGCCACACUGGGACUGAGACACGGCCCAGACUCCUACGGGAGGCAGCAGUGGGGAAUAUUGGACAAUGGGCGAAAGCCUGAUCCAGCAAUGCCGCGUGAGUGAUGAAGGCCUUAGGGUUGU
rnacentral:rRNA from 1 species